AGGGCAGGUCGGGUUACCGCUGUCAUGAGUUUUAUGGCAGAGGAAAGUCCGGGCUUCUUAGAGCAUGAUGCCGGGUAACCCCCGGGCAUUCGGUUAAGAAACUUGACACCGAAUGACAGAUAGUGCCACAGAAAACAGACCGCCCUGCGUUCAACAUAUAAGCGCAGGGUAAGGGUGAAAAGGCGGGGUAAGAGCCCACCGCCCUUUCGGUAACGAAAGGGGCACGGUAAACCUCAUCAGAAGCAAGGCCAAGCAGCAGAUCGGGUUGCUCGCCCAUCAAUCUGCGGGUAGGCCGCUAAAACGAAUUGGUAACAAUUCGUUUAAGAUAGAUGGUAACCUUUUAACAGAACCCGGCUUACAGAUCUGCCCUUUUA
rnacentral:RNase_P_RNA from 1 species